GGGCGGAUCUUGCCAUGACAUCUGUCACCCCAUUGAUUGCCAGGGUUGAUUCAGCUGAUCUGGCUGGCUAGGAGGGUGUCCCCUUCCUCCCCCAUGUGUGUCUCUCCCGAAGCUGCACGCUCGGUCCAAAAAGAUGACCUUCCCCGAUGGAGGAGGACUGUUCUUUGGUCAAGGGUAUAUGAGUAGCUGCUAAAACCUCCAAACAAGCUCUCAAGAAACUUCCCAGCUGGGAUACCCUUGAAAGUGGUGGAACCAAGCUUCUGACUGCAAAGCCACUGGUCUUU
rnacentral:snRNA from 1 species